CAUAUAUAUGUUUGCAUAGGCAGGUGCAAAUUUUUUGCCCAUGAAUGCGAACUACUUUUGUUGAUUUUUUUCACAUAGUUAGACAUAAUAUAGUACUAAGAAAUGUUUCUGACCCAAAAUAUUACGAAAUAUGAUUGUUUACAUUAAAAUGCAAAAGUUGAUGAAAAAGUAUGACAAGGUGAAAAAAGUGACAUUUUAUGUCUAGAAAGUCAGUUUUCAUCAAAAGUACAAUAACAAAAGUAGUUCGCAUUCAUCCUGUGUCUCCUUACACACUUGUGCUCUUUAUCCGCUCAAAACGCUAUAGAGCGAACGAGAAGGCGCUAGGAGCAAAGGAAAGUGGUUUUUCUAACAAACUCAUAUAAUCAGUUGCCCGACCUACUCCAAUUUGAUUUUUUUCACAUAGUUAGACAUAAUAUAGUACUAAGAAAUGUUUCUGACCCAAAAUAUUACGAAAUAUGAUUGUUUACAUUAAAAUGCAAAAGUUGUUGAAAAAGUAUGAUAAGGCGAAAAAAGUGACAUUUUAUGUCUAGAAAGUCAGUUUUCUUCAAAAGUACAAUAACAAAAGUAGUUCGCAUUCAUCCUGUGUCUCCUUACACACUUGUGCUCUUUAUCCGCUCAAAACGCUAUAGAGCGAACGAGAAGGCGCUAGGAGCAAAGGAAAGUGGUUUUUCUAACAAACUCAUAUAAUCAGUUGCCCGACCUACUCCAAUUUGAUUUUUUUCACAUAGUUAGACAUAAUAUAGUACUAAGAAAUGUUUCUGACCCAAAAUAUUACGAAAUAUGAUUGUUUACAUUAAAAUGCAAAAGUUGUUGAAAAAGUAUGAUAAGGUGAAAAAAGUGACAUUUUAUGUCUAGAAAGUGACUUUUCAUCAAAAGUACAAUAACAAAACUAGUUCACAUUCAUCCUGUGUCCCCUUACACACUUGUGCUCUUUAUCCGCUCAAAACGCUAUACAGCGAACUAGAAGGCGCUAGGAGCAAAGGAAAGUGGUUUUUCUAACAAACUCAUAUAAUCAGUUGCCCGACCUACUCCAAUUUGAUUCUUGUCGCAUAUUUACACAUAAUAUAGUACUAUGAAAUGUUUCUGACCCAAAAUAUUACGAAAUAGGAUUGUUUACAUUAAAAUGCAAAAGUUGAUGAAAAAGUAUGAUAAGGUGAAAAAAGUGACAUUUUAUGUCUAGAAAGUGACUUUUCAUCAAAAGUACAAUAACAAAACUAGUUCACAUUCAUCCUGUGUCCCCUUACACACUUGUGCUCUUUAUCCGCUCAAAACGCUAUACAGCGAACUAGAAGGCGCUAGGAGCAAAGGAAAGUGGUUUUUCUAACAAACUCAUAUAAUCAGUUGCCCGACCUACUCCAAUUUGAUUCUUGUCGCAUAUUUACACAUAAUAUAGUACUAUGAAAUGUUUCUGACCCAAAAUAUUACGAAAUAGGAUUGUUUACAUUAAAAUGCAAAAGUUGAUGAAAAAGUAUGAUAAGGUGAAAAAAGUGACAUUUUAUGUCUAGAAAGUCACUUUUCAUCAAAAGUACAAUAAGAAAUCUAGUUCACAUUCAUCCUGUGUCCCCUUACACACUUGUGCUCUUUAUCCGCUCAAAACGCUAUACAGCGAACUAGAAGGCGCUAGGAGCAAAGGAAAGUGGUUUUUCUAACAAACUCAUAUAAUCAGUUGCCCGACCUACUCCAAUUUGAUUCUUUUCACACAUUUACACAUAAUAUAGUACUAUGAAAUGUUUCUGACCCAAAAUAUUACGAAAUAUGAUUGUUUACAUUAAAAUGCAAAAGUUGAUGAAAA
ensembl:lncRNA